GUCCGGUUAGCUCAGUCAGUAGAGCAUAGCGCUAACAAUGCUAAGGUCACGGGUUCAGUUCCCAUUCUUGCCC
rnacentral:tRNA from 1 species